rnacentral:rRNA from 1 species
AGAGCCCAAACCGGAAGUCUUCGGACGGCCGGGGUUGAGGGCCGGCAAAGCGACGGAAGAAUCUAGCCGAACACCGCUGGAAAGCGGGACCAAAGGGGGUAAAAGUCCUGUAGGCGAAAGAGGGAGCAGCGCAGCCGGUACCAGAGUACCACAAGGCACGUGAAACCUGGUGGGAAGCAGGGGGGACCACCCUCCAAGGCUAAAUACUACUUGAUGACCGAUAGCGGAAUAGUACCGUGAGGGAAAGGUGAAAAGUACCCCGGGAGGGGAGUGAAAGAGAACCUGAAACCAUACGCUUACAAGCAGACAGAGCACGAUUAGAGCGUGUGAUGUUGUACUUAUUGAAGAACGGGCCAGCGAGUUACGCUAUGCAGCGAGGUUAAGGCGUUCAGCGCCGGAGCCGCAGGGAAACCGAGUCUGAAGAGGGCGAAAGUUGCAUGGAGUAGACCCGAAACCGGGUGACCUAUCCAUGGGCAGGUUGAAGCGGUAGUAAGAUACCGUGGAGGACCGAACUCACUAGAGUUGAAAAUCUAGGGGAUGACCUGUGGAUAGCGGUGAAAUUCCAAUCGAACUCGGAAAUAGCUGGUUCUCCUCGAAAUAGCUUUAGGGCUAGCCUCACUUGAAGAUAUGCGGAGGUAGAGCACUGAAUGGGCUAGGGGGCCUCAAAGCUUACCGAACCUUAUCAAACUUCGAAUGCCGUAUAUUAGUAAGUGGGAGUCAGACAGUGGGAGCUAAGUUUCAUUGUCAAAAGGGAAACAGCCCAGAUCAUCAGCUAAGGCCCCAAAGUGCAGGUUAAGUGGAAAAGGAUGUGAGAUUGCUUAGACAACUAGGAUGUUGGCUUAGAAGCAGCCACUCAUUUAAAGAGUGCGUAAUAGCUCACUAGUCGAGUGGUCUUGCGCCGAAAAUGUCCGGGGCUAAAACCUGCCGCCGAAGCUAUGGACUUGGAAACAAGUGGUAGAGGAGCGUCGUGUGCGGAUAGAAGCCAUACCGAAAGGAGUGGUGGACUGCACAGGAGAGAGAAUGCUGGCAUGAGUAACGAAAGUGGGGUGCGAAUCCCCACCAUCGAAAGCCUAAGGUUUCCUGGGGAAGGUUCGUCCGCCCAGGGUAAGUCGGGACCUAAGCCGAGGACGAGAGAGUCGUAGGCGAUGGACAACAGGUUGAUAUUCCUGUACCGCCUUAAGCGAUUGAGAGAAGCAGUGACACAGAAGGAUAGGCCAAGCGGGUUGAUGGUAGGACCCGUCCAAGUAUUGAGGCUGGGGAGAUAGUGAAGUACGUCUUCCCAUAAGGCUGGGAUACGAUGGGGACAGAACAUAAGUAUGGAAGUGGCUGAAUUCACGCUGGCGAGAAAAGCUGCUAUCGAGCGAAGAGGCGCCCGUACCGCAAACCGACACAGGUAGGCGAGGAGAGAAUCCUAAGAUGAGCGAGAUAACCCCUGUUAAGGAACUCGGCAAAAUGACUCCGUAACUUCGGGAUAAGGAGUGCCUGGAAACAGGCCACAGUAAAUAGGGCCAAGCGACUGUUUAGCAAAAACACAGGUCUGUGCGAAAUCGAGAGAUGAAGUAUACGGGCUGACGCCUGCCCAGUGCUGGAAGGUUAAGGGGAACUGUCAGGGCAACCGAAGCAGUGAACUGAAGCCCCAGUGAACGGCGGCCGUAACUAUAACGGUCCUAAGGUAGCGAAAUUCCUUGUCGGGUAAGUUCCGACCCGCACGAAUGGCGUAACGACUUGGCCACUGUCUCAACAGGGGACUCGGUGAAAUUGUAGUACCGGUAAAGAUGCCGGUUACCCGCGACUAGACGGAAAGACCCCGUAGAGCUUUACUGUAACUUGGUAUUGAAUUUCGGCAUUGGAUGUACAGCAUAGGUGGGAGGCAGAGAACUGCUUGCGCCAGCAGGCAGGGAGCCGCCAUUGGGAUACCACUCUUCUAAUGUUGAAACUCUAACAACGCGCCAUGAACUGGGUGUUGGACAGUGCCAGGUGGACAGUUUGACUGGGGCGGUCGCCUCCGAAAAGGUAACGGAGGCGCCCAAAGGUCUCCUCAGCAUGGUCGGAAAUCAUGCGUCAGAGUGCAAAGGCAUAAGGGGGCCUGACUGCGAGACAGACAUGUCGAGCAGAGACGAAAGUCGGGCUUAGUGAUCCGGCGGUAUGAGAGUGGAAUUGCCGUCGCUCAACGGAUAAAAGCUACCUCGGGGAUAACAGGCUUAUCUCCCCCAAGAGUCCACAUCGACGGGGAGGUUUGGCACCUCGAUGUCGGCUCGUCGCAUCCUGGGGCUGAAUUCGGUCCCAAGGGUUUGGCUGUUCGCCAAUUAAAGCGGCACGCGAGCUGGGUUCAGAACGUCGUGAGACAGUUCGGUCCCUAUCUAUCGUGGGCGUAAGAAGUUUGAGAGGAGCUGUCCCUAGUACGAGAGGACCGGGAUGGACGCACCACUGGUGUACCAGUUGUUCUGCCAAGGGCACCGCUGGGUAGCUAUGUGCGGACGGGAUAAGCGCUGAAAGCAUCUAAGCGUGAAGCCUCCCUCAAGAUGAGACUUCUCAUUCCUUAAAGGAAGUAAGGCACCUUGU